UCUAAAUCCCCAGCACCUGGCACAGAGGCUGGAAAUGAGUAUCUCCAGAAACAGAACAAGUAGGAUAUUUAUAGAUAUACAGAAAUUUAUUAUGAGGGAUCGGCUUACAGGGUUAUGAAGGCUGAGGAGUCCUACAAUCUGCCAUCAGCCAACUGAAGGCCCAGGAAGGUCAAUAAUGUUAUGCUGGUCUAAGCUGGAAGGCCUGAGACCCAGGAGACCCAGUCCAAG
rnacentral:lncRNA from 1 species